rnacentral:rRNA from 1 species
UACGUAGGGUGCAAGCGUUGUCCGGAAUUAUUGGGCGUAAAGAGCUCGUAGGCGGCUCGUCACGUCGGCUGUGAAAACCCGGGGCUCAACCCCGGGCCUGCAGUCGAUACGGGCGAGCUAGAGUUCGGCAGGGGAGACUGGAAUUCCCAGUGUAGCGGUGAAAUGCGUAGAUAUUGGGAGGAACACCAGUGGCGAAGGCGGCUCACUGGACCGGAACUGACGCUGAGGCGCGAAAGCGUGGGGAGCAAACAGG